UUUGGGCUUUGUUAGUCUAGCAUUUCCUUUUGGAUAUCCUAACAUCAAAGGAAUAGCAUGAAGUGGGAAACUACAGGUUGAGAAUGCUAGAGCCUUGACUAAGAUCAUCCAAUUAACGUCCUUAAAGCUCAAAAGAGAAUGCUUAGUUGAAAUCAACUCUUUCCAAAUCCUUUUGUGACACCUGAAAUUUUGACUUCUGUGAUAUAGGAGCUACACAAAAGGCGCUUACAAAUAAAAUCAAAGAUUCAUAAGAAAUCAAAAGAUGGUACUGGCAAAUCUCAUGGAAAAGACCUCAAAAGCAAAGAUACGGGCACAAACAUUGAAGACUCAGGUGUUCCUGAUUUGAAACCCCUUGAUGACAAUGCCAAUUUCUCUACUCCACAAGACAAGGUGUCAGCACAUCAUUCAGAAAAGAAACGCCAGAAAUUACACUGGGGGCUUGAUACAAAGGAAAGAUGGGAGAGAAAAGCCAAUAUGUAGACGUCACUGGUUCUUUGAGACGCAGCGCACCUGAUCUGAAGUUCGCCUCUCAAAAUAUUUGCAAAAGGCGCCUGAAGUUCCGUUCCUACAUUGGAUUUCAUUUACAUGUUUCGACAAACAUCAUCAUGCACAAGCUCUUAAUGAUGUAACGAGGAAUAUAUUUAGAAGGGCUGGCAAAUAACGACUAGGUGACUUGGAAAAGAUGGAAUAGAAAGUGUUUGGUUUGAAUGUAAAUGAUUCUACAAGAGCAGCAGCAUCCAUAAGCAUGAUUAUGAAAGCUCAUUGCCUUUCAGAAAAUGUUCAGUUAAACAGCAUUCAGGAAUACAACUGUGACAUUGUUGUGAUGCAACUACAAGCCAUCUCUCUAGUAUCAUUUUUUUCUUCUCAGUUUUAACGUUCCCCAGGCGGAUGCCUCCCUAAAUGCUAUAAUGUCACUGUCUCUCUAAUGAUGUGGACGAUAAAGCAACAUAACAAGCCAAGUUUCGCUACGUGUUCCUUUCAGAUUAUGUUAGCCGUUUAAUUUCUUAACUCAGAGGUAUAGGUAUACACAUCAUUUACCAAGGCUUGGAAGCUUAACUCGACAAUGUGCUAAUCAGUCGGCGGAACGGCUACGUAAAGUUUCAUCCAAGAAUCAUAUGGAAAAGAAUUUAUUUGUAAUAUUUGACAUUCAGCUAUGAUGAAACAAAUGAUUAUUGGUGCCGCAGUUCUGAUAUUACAUA